rnacentral:rRNA from 1 species
AACAGGAUUAGAUACCCCGGUAGUCCACGCCGUAAACGAUGAGUGCUAGCUGUAGGGAGCUAUAAGUUCUCUGUAGCGCAGCUAACGCAUUGAGCACUCCGCCUGGGGAGUACGACCGCAAGGUUGAAACUCAAAGGAAUUGACGGGGGCCCGCACAAGCGGUGGAGCAUGUGGUUUAAUUCGAAGCAACGCGAAGAACCUUACCAGGUCUUGACAUACUCGUGCUAUCCUUAGAGGUAAGGAGUUCCUUCGGGACACGGGAUACAGGUGGUGCAUGGUUGUCGUCAGCUCGUGUCGUGAGAUGUUGGGUUAAGUCCCGCAACGAGCGCAACCCUUAUUACUAGUUGCCAUCAUUAAGUUGGGCACUCUAGUGAGACUGCCGGUGAUAAACCGGAGGAAGGUGGGGAUGACGUCAAAUCAUCAUGCCCCUUAUGACCUGGGCUACACACGUGCUACAAUGGAUGGUACAACGAGUCGCCAACCCGCGAGGGUGCGCUAAUCUCUUAAAACCAUUCUCAGUUCGGAUUGCAGGCUGCAACUCGCCUGCAUGAAGUCGGAAUCGCUAGUAAUCGCGGAUCAGCACGCCGCGGUGAAUACGUUCCCGGGCCUUGUACACACCGCCCGUCACACCACGGAAGUUGGGAGUACCCAAAGUAGGUUGCCUAACCGCAAGGAGGGCGCUUCCUAAGGUAAGACCGAUGACUGGGGUGAAGUCGUAACAAGGUAACC